AGGUGGACUGGGACAGAAAGAAGGACCUCCGAAAUUUGGCCGCAGAAAACAGCAAGAGGUGUACUGAGACAGAAAGAAGGACCUCCGAAAUUUGGCCUGAGAAAACAGCAAGAUGUGGACUGAGACAGGAAGAAGGUCCUCCGAAAUUUGGCCUCAAAAGACAGCAAGAGGUGGACUGGGACAGGAUGAAGGACCUCCGAAAUUUGGCCUCAGA